rnacentral:tRNA from 1 species
GGAGAGGUGGCUGAGCGGUUUAAAGCGUUCGCUUGCUAAGCGAAAGAAUACCAAUUCCACGGGUUCAAAUCCCGUUCUCUCCU